UGACUCAAAGUGUGACGGGCUACGCCCAUGCUAGUAGACCAUUCCGCUCACGGAAGCUCCAUGAUUUCCUAUUCCAGCUCGUACGAUGCAGCCAAAUGGGUUCAACCAAUCAGAGCUCACGAAAGCCCCAUAGCUUCUUCGCUUAGAUUCUUACACUGAGCCUCGGCCCAGCCAUUCUUCCGCUCCGCCGAUAAAAGAACCUCGUACGAGCGCAGCUACCUUUUUCAUUUCUUCUCUUUCCUUAACGUUUUCUACUUUUUAUAAUAAGACCUAUAUCGUAUGUCGAGCUAUUCGGCGUAGGCCCCUUACAGCGAUGUGUUUUUCUCUGCAGUUUGCACAUUUUAUCUGAGUAUGUGUACUGCUUUUGCAUUGCAUAGUACAUUGCAUAAAUGUUCUGAUGUCUUGUGAUUAUCUGCACACAGAAGGCAUUUUGUUUGUCUCAUACAAUAGUUUGCAAAAUGACCAUAUCUUUGACAGUUUGAGCAUUGUGUUUGUUCUUUCAUUUUUUCUCUAGAUUAUUUCACGAGAUAUUGCAGGCCUCGGCCGCGGGGCCGUUCGUCUAGUAUCUCUUUGAUCUCCCACUCAAGCUUGUUGUCCUCUCCCAUGAUCCCUGGCGGCUGCCAGUCCGAGGUUGUUUGAGAAGGAAAUGGGUCAGUGGCCGCGCGGUGCAGAUGGCUCGUAUGAAAAACAUGAUGAAUGCCAGGCGGUGUGUUCAGGUGGUAGUUAUGGCUGCUCAGAACUUCUAGGACUUUGUACUUAAUGUGUUGGUAGUCUAGCAUAUGUGACAGGCAUGAGGUUCGAAUGUUCUUGAGACUGAGCCACACCAGAUUGCCAACUUUGUAUUGCUCAGUGGGGUCUCAUUGUACAUUGGCCUGGUUCUUCUGAUCCUGUUUAGCGCUCACCAUUGAAGCUUCCGCCCAGUCGCAGGUGUCUUGGAGUUUUGUUACUAUAUUGUCAGCAACUUCAAUGGGAUUGUGUGGACUUAUUGAGAUUUGUGUGGAUUCCUGAAGAUCUAGUACUUCCAUAUUGUAGCCAUGCAUG
rnacentral:sRNA from 1 species